AAUAGGGUAAUAGGUUCACACUUGCUCCUAAGUCUAAUAGGGCUCUCCGAAUGAUGGUUUCUCCUAUUUUAAUUUCAAUAGUGGGGCAACCAGGGUCCUUGUAUUUUGGGGCAAUCUGUUGUUGAAUAAGAGAUGAGGCUUGUGCAGCCAUCACAGCUUGCCUAGGAAUACUGGUUUUUCUUUUCACCGUGGUUAAGUCUUUUAAGAAUUUUGU
rnacentral:lncRNA from 1 species